rnacentral:rRNA from 1 species
GGAGUUAGCCGGUGCUUCUUCUGUGAGUGAUGUCCUUCCUGCCGGCUAUUAACCCGCAGGCCUUCUUCCUCACUGAAAGUGCUUUACAACCCGAAGGCCUUCUUCACACACGCGGCAUGGCUGGAUCAGGGUUGCCCCCAUUGUCCAAUAUUCCCCACUGCUGCCUCCCGUAGGAGUCUGGGCCGUGUCUCAGUCCCAGUGUGGCUGAUCAUCCUCUCAGACCAGCUACGGAUCGUCGCCUUGGUGAGCCGUUACCUCACCAACCAGCUAAUCCGACAUAGGCUCAUCCGAUAGCGCGAGGCCCGAAGGUCCCCCGCUUUCCCCCGUAGGGCGUAUGCGGUAUUAGCCUGGGUUUCCCCAGGUUAUCCCCCACUACCGGGCAGAUUCCUAUGCAUUACUCACCCGUCCGCCGCUCGCCACCAGGGAGCAAGCUCCCCGUGCUGCCGCUCGACUUGCAUGUGUAGCGUCGCCGCCACGCGUCAUCUGAGCAGAUACAACUACUGA